rnacentral:rRNA from 1 species
UUGAAUUUUAAUUUAAAGUCUAGCCUGCCCACUGAAAUUAAUUUUAAUGGCCGCAGUAUUUUGACUGUGCAAAGGUAGCAUAAUCAUUAGUUUUUUAAUUGAAAGCUUGUAUGAAAGGUUGGACGAGGUAAAAUCUGUCUCUAUUUAAUUUAUUUUAGAAUUUAAUUUUUAAGUUAAAAAGCUUAAAUUUUAUUAAAAGACGAGAAGACCCUAUAGAUCUUUAUAAUUUUUGUUAUAAAUUUAAUUAUGAAUUAUUUAGAAUUUAUAAUAUAAAUUAUUUUAUUGGGGUAAUAAAAAGAUUAAAAUAAUUCUUUUUUAUUUUUAACAUUAAUUUAUGAAUUUAAUGAUCCAAUUUUAUUGAUUAUAAGAUUAAGUUACCUUAGGGAUAACAGCGUAAUUUUUUUAGAGAGUUCAUAUCGAUAAAAAAGUUUGCGACCUCGAUGUUGGAUUAAAGAUUAGUUUAGGUGUAGAAGUUUAAAUUUUUGGUCUGUUCGACCAUUAAAUCUUUACAUGAUCUGAGUUCAGACCGGCGUAAGCCAGGUCGGUUUCUAUCUUUAAUAAUUUUAAAAUAUUUUAGUACGAAAGGACCAAAUAUUUAAUAUAUUUAUAUUUUAUUUUUUGAAUAUUAUU